rnacentral:misc_RNA from 1 species
GAAAUGCGAUAAGUAAUGCGAAUUGCAGAAUUUCAGUGAGUCAUCGAAUCUUUGAACGCACAUUGCGCCCUUUGGUAUUCCGAAGGGCAUGCCUGUUCGAGCGUCAUUAUCACCCCUCAAGCCCCCGGCUUGGUGUUGGACGGUUUGGUGGAGGCCCCCUCGCGGGGCCACCGCCCCUCCCAAAGACAAUGACGGCGGCCUCGUUGGACCCCCGGUACACUGAGUUCUUCACGGGACACGUAUCGGACACAUGGGUUUACGGGACACGGUCUGCCUCCCCUCAGGGAGAAUCUUUCUAAGGUUGACCUCGGAUCAGGUAGGGAUACCCGCUGAACUUAA